UGGGGGCUCGUCUAACGGUAGGACAGUGGACUCUGAAUCCAUAUGUGGGGGUUCGAAUCCUCCGCCCCCAGCCU
rnacentral:tRNA from 1 species